GUAGGGAAUAUUGGACAAUGGGCGCAAGCCUGAUCCAGCCAUGCCGCGUGAGUGAUGAAGGCCUUAGGGUUGUAAAGCUCUUUCAGUGGGGACGAUAAUGACGGUACCCACAGAAGAAGCCCCGGCUAACUUCGUGCCAGCAGCCGCGGUAAUACGAAGGGGGCUAGCGUUGUUCGGAUUUACUGGGCGUAAAGCGCACGUAGGCGGAUCGUUAAGUCGGGGGUGAAAUCCUGGAGCUCAACUCCAGAACUGCCUUCGAUACUGGCGAUCUUGAGUCCGGAAGAGGUGAGUGGAACUCCUAGUGUAGAGGUGGAAUUCGUAGAUAUUAGGAAGAACACCAGUGGCGAAGGCGGCUCACUGGUCCGGUACUGACGCUGAGGUGCGAAAGCGUGGGGAGCAAACAGGAUUAGAAACCCGGGUAGUCC
rnacentral:rRNA from 1 species